GUCUUUUUGCCUUUUCUAGGGCCACUCCCUUGCGGCAUAUGGAGGUUCCCAGGGUAGGGGUCGAAUCAGAGCUGUAGCUGCUGGCCUACGCCAGAGCCACAGCAACGCGGGAUCUGAGCUGCGCCUGCGACCUACACCGAAGCUCAUGGCAACGCUGGAUCCUUAACCCACUGAGCCAGGCCAGGGAUUGAACCCAAAACCUCACGGUUCCUAGUUGGAUUUGUUAACCACUGAGCCGCAAUGGGAACGCCCAUCUGGGGUAUCUCAUAGAUAUGCUUCCAUGAACUAUUUUUAGAAUUUGAAAAAAAAAUAUAUAUUUUUAAGCCACUUCAAAUGGAACCCAAGGCUGAUUUUGCCAACAGCAAUCUCCUAAAUACACUAACCAGGCCACCGCAGCAGCAAAGCUUUAAAGGUGUGGCCAUAAGGGGACCAGCCUGAGAGACACCUCUGAGCUUUACCGAGCUCCCCCCGGACACAGAUCGAGCGCCCAGAACACCCACACCUCCCCUCCCGACCCCCCACGAGCACAGGCAAGGUGCGCGUUCUCUCUGCAGAGGAGGGGACCAAGUUCAGGGUAGCGACGUCAGGUCAUCGGCCUAGUCACCCGAGUGACUGUGCGUGACAGCGUGAAGACCCAGACAGGGUGCUCUGAGCCACCGCGAGCGUUCCUCCCCAGCCCCCUGCUUUCCCGAGCCUGGGACCCCGGUCCUGGCGGCUGUGAGAGGCCCCAGGGAAGCUGUGUGCAUGUCCUGUUGUCGCAGUCCUGUGUCUCUGCGGGGACCACGCCAGGAAGACAGCGGGCGCGCGCUGAAUGCUGCCCGCAGGCUGCCGGCGAAGUGCAGCCCUGCCACGCUGGGAAAAGCAGCAAACCCGAGGAAGCGCUGUGCACGGGACUUUCCGUUCAUAUCGCUACAGGCAACUGGGGUGAGAGGGUUACACUCCUCGCAUAAAUGAGCCGUAACCACAGCAACAGCAGGACACAGCUACCCACAGAAUGAAAACAAAGUUCAAAUUAAAAUGACCGCACUGCCACUCGCCUUUCUCCUCUGUUCCCCUUUUCUUUCUCUUCCAGAAAGGGAGCAUGUGGAAAUGUGAAAUGUCAUUAACCUGCUGCCUCUCUGAAAUCCAAAAUGAGUAGGGACUAGACGUUUCACGAAACAGUCUCCCGAGAGACUCACCCUCAAGCAAAAGGUCCUGAUUGCAUACAGAUGUGCCAACCACCUCAACAAGCCAAAACUUCCAAAAGAGACUCCACUUUACUCUGGAUCAUCAGCUGCUGGGUAGUUUCCCUCUCUGCUCUAGCCACUAGGAAGCUCAGUGUCAAAUCUGAAGGGUGCCUCUUGCAGCUGCAUGGAAACUGGUGAGCUGUGCUUUGAGGUAUCCCUUAGGCUCAGGGUUUUUUUUUUUUGUCCUUUGCCCAAAUUUUUCAACAUUUUUUUUUUCUCUAUCAUUUUGCACAUUUUUUAAAAAACUUUUUUUGGAAUAGACCUGCACACAAAACAAAACUCAGAAGGUACACAGUGAAGGUCUCCCUUUUGCUCCAGUUCACUCGUCUCUCCCUCCGAGGCAACGUUAUGAUUACCAGGUUCAUAGGCGCCUUUCCUGACGCCGGAUCUGCACUCGCAAGCAAAUGCUUGUAUCUUUAUGCACACAGAGCACACUAAUAGAGAGGGUUAUUCAUCUUGCUUUUUUAAGGUAGGCACUGAAUUUUACAGAGGGCUUUAAUCAAUUCUCUACUGCCAGGCACUUAGCUAGCUCACAAUCUUUUAUAAUCAAUCUUUUUUGUAGUCUUCCAGUAUUUUGCAAUUGAUACCUUUAGAAAACCAUCAUUUACCUACACACUAAUUCACCUGUAAGAUAAAUUCCUAGAAGUCUAAAUGCUGGGUCAAAAGUACCCUAACUGGAGUUUCCGCUGUGGCUCAGUGUAAGGAACCUGACUAGUAUCCAUGAGGAUGCUGGUUCGAUCCGUGGCCCCACUCAGUGGGUUAAGGAUCCGGCGUUGCCCUAGCUGUGGUGUAGGUCGCAGGCAUGGCUUAGAUCUGGUGUGGCUGUGGCUGUGGUUGGGCCGGCAGCUGCAGCCCCUAUUUGACCCCUAACCUGGGAACUUCCACCUGCUGAUGGGUGAAGCCCUAAAAAACGGGGGGGCCCCGACUGACUGACUGAGUCAUUUGUUCAUGUCAGCUUUAUGUUUUCAUUUAACACGCACUUAGCUCUUUUGGUGCAUGCGCGUCUGUGGCUAUUAACACAAACGGUCUUGCAGCCACGACCCUCAUGAUCCAGACACAGGACGGUUCCAUCAUCCCCAAGACCUUAGUAGCCACGACGGGCACGGCAGCGUUAUCUUCUCAAGUAUGUCGUAUAAAUAAAAUCAUACAGGAUGUAACCUUUUGAGACAGGAUUCCUACAGUCAGAUAAUACCCCCGAGAUUUGCCCAAGCUUGUUAAUAUGGUGGCGUACACUGAUUGAUUCUCAAAUACUAAACCUGCUUUGGAUUCCUGGGAUAGAUGCCACAUAGUCACAGUAUACUACCCUUAAAAAAAAUGUGUGUGUGUGUGUAGCUGAGUUCAAUUUGCUACUAUUGCGUUGAGGAUUUUGUGAGGGAAUACAGGUCUCCAGUUUGCCUUCUUUGUACUGUACUUUCGUGGUUUUGGCAUCAGGCUAACACCAGCCUCAUGAAAUGAGUCAUUCCUUUCUCUUCUAAAAAUGGUGUCAUUUAACUUUUUGGUAGAACCGAACAAUGAAACCGCCUCUGGGCCUGCAGAUUUCUUUUUCUGGAAGGUUUUUAACUACAAUUUCUAUUUCAUUACUAAUUACAGGACAAUCUGGGUUGUCUACUACAUCCUGGAUAAGUUUUAGUGAUUUGGGAUGUUCAAGGAAAAGAACCAUUUCUUCUAGGUUAUCAGAUUUACACAUGCAGGGUUUUUAAUAACAUUCUCCUAUUAUCCUUUUAAUUUCUGCAGCAUCUGUAGUGUCUUCUUUUUUCAUUCUUCUUCUUCAUAAUUGGUUCUCCUCUGUUUCAGUCCGUUUUGUUAAGAGUUUGAUUCUGUUGGUCACUUCUUUUUUCUUCUCUCUCUCUUUUUUUCCCUGUCUUUUUGUCCUUUCUAGGGCCGCACCCGCAACACAUGGAGGUUUCCAGGCUAGGGGUCUAAUUGGAGGUUUCCAGGCUGCUGGUCUACACCACAGCCACAGCAACGCCAGAUACAAGCCAUGUCUGCGACCUACAUCACAGCUCAUGGCAACGCCAGAUCCUUAACCCACUGAGUGAGGCCAGGGAUUGAACCCGCAACCCCAUGGUUCUUAGUCGGACUCGUUUCCGCUGCGCCACAACGGGAACUCCCUGUUGGUCAUUUCAACGAAUCAGCUUUUGGUUUCACAACUAUUACGUUUUUCUGUUUUCAAGUUCAGUGACUUCUAGUCUCAUACUAUUU
rnacentral:lncRNA from 1 species